GUAAUAGUCACCUGGCUGAGAAGUGCCUGGGAUCUUCAGCUACACAAUUCAAAACACCAUGUUCAACACACUCCUUGAACUUACCUCCAUGAGCAAGUUGCUGCUAUCGCUCUCUGGGCAGAAGACAGAAGGAACUCUGCACAUCAGACCUCUAUUAGAAGAUAAUAUCUUUCAUGUGAAAAAAUUGAGGCACAGAGAGGUCAAGUAAUUUGCCCACUGCUGCACAAGUAGAAGCAAAGCUCGUUUCAAAGCUGACUUCCGAGUUCAUGCUUUCAACCACUACACUCUACCAUAACAGGAAGGAUUGACUGUCUGCUCAGCAGGCAUGAAAUGAAGGUAUGAAGGGAUAAGACUUCACGGAAGAUAUGACUGGCUGAGUGUUCUGGACGCCAGGAUAUGUGGAGCAGACUUGCAAUGAAGUGUUCACCAAACCAAACCAAAACAAAACAAAACAAAAAGCAAGUCAUGCCGAGGGUAUGGUAAGUGUGGGCCUUCAGUGAUAGGUCCCUCUGUCUUUUGGGGAGCUCCAUGCUGCCUGAGAGGAAAAGUCAAGAAUGCAGCACCUGGUGAAAGUGGCACCAAUGAUUGGUCAGGCUGAAAAGUGAAGCAGCCCAAUAGAAAGCACAUGUGAUAGUGAGAGGAAAACCUAGGCUUUCAUUCCAGCUCUGAUGCUUGACCAUGGACAUGCCAUGUAACUUCUUUGAGCCCAAGGAAGCUCAGCCUCCCUCAAAAUUGAAAUUUUGUAUAUCAACCUCAUGGUAUUGGGUUAAAAGUAUGAAUGAACAUAAAGCAUCCAGUCAAA